rnacentral:rRNA from 1 species
UACGUAGGGUGCGAGCGUUGUCCGGAAUUAUUGGGCGUAAAGGGCUCGUAGGCGGUCUGUCGCGUCGGGAGUGAAAACUCAGGGCUUAACCCUGAGCCUGCUUCCGAUACGGGCAGACUAGAGGUAUGCAGGGGAGAACGGAAUUCCUGGUGUAGCGGUGGAAUGCGCAGAUAUCAGGAGGAACACCGGUGGCGAAGGCGGCGUCCUGGCUCGCAUCUGACGCUCAGACACGACAGCAUGGGGAGCAAACAGG